rnacentral:rRNA from 1 species
UACAGAGGUCUCAAGCGUUGUUCGGAUUCAUUGGGCGUAAAGGGUGCGUAGGCGGCGCGGUAAGUCGGGUGUGAAAUCUUGGAGCUUAACUCCGAAACUGCAUUCGAUACUGCCGUGCUUGAGGACUGGAGAGGAGACUGGAAUUUACGGUGUAGCGGUGAAAUGCGCAGAUAUCAGGAAGAACACCAAUGGCGAAGGCAGCUCUCUGGGACGGUACUGACACUGAGACGCGAAAGCGUGGGGAGCGAACAGG